AAAUUGAAGAGUUUGAUCAUGGCUCAGAUUGAACGCUGGCGGCAGGCCUAACACAUGCAAGUCGAACGGUAACAGGAAGCAGCUUGCUGCUUUGCUGACGAGUGGCGGACGGGUGAGUAAUGUCUGGGAAACUGCCUGAUGGAGGGGGAUAACUACUGGAAACGGUGGCUAAUACCGCAUAACGUCGCAAGACCAAAGAGGGGGACCUUCGGGCCUCUUGCCAUCAGAUGUGCCCAGAUGGGAUUAGCUUGUUGGUGAGGUAACGGCUCACCAAGGCGACGAUCCCUAGCUGGUCUGAGAGGAUGACCAGCCACACUGGAACUGAGACACGGUCCAGACUCCUACGGGAGGCAGCAGUGGGGAAUAUUGCACAAUGGGCGCAAGCCUGAUGCAGCCAUGCCGCGUGUAUGAAGAAGGCCUUCGGGUUGUAAAGUACUUUCAGCGGGGAGGAAGGUGUUGUGGUUAAUAACCGCAGCAAUUGACGUUACCCGCAGAAGAAGCACCGGCUAACUCCGUGCCAGCAGCCGCGGUAAUACGGAGGGUGCAAGCGUUAAUCGGAAUUACUGGGCGUAAAGCGCACGCAGGCGGUCUGUCAAGUCGGAUGUGAAAUCCCCGGGCUCAACCUGGGAACUGCAUUCGAAACUGGCAGGCUUGAGUCUUGUAGAGGGGGGUAGAAUUCCAGGUGUAGCGGUGAAAUGCGUAGAGAUCUGGAGGAAUACCGGUGGCGAAGGCGGCCCCCUGGACAAAGACUGACGCUCAGGUGCGAAAGCGUGGGGAGCAAACAGGAUUAGAUACCCUGGUAGUCCACGCCGUAAACGAUGUCUACUUGGAGGUUGUGCCCUUGAGGCGUGGCUUCCGGAGCUAACGCGUUAAGUAGACCGCCUGGGGAGUACGGCCGCAAGGUUAAAACUCAAAUGAAUUGACGGGGGCCCGCACAAGCGGUGGAGCAUGUGGUUUAAUUCGAUGCAACGCGAAGAACCUUACCUGGUCUUGACAUCCACAGAAGAAUCCAGAGAUGGAUUUGUGCCUUCGGGAACUGUGAGACAGGUGCUGCAUGGCUGUCGUCAGCUCGUGUUGUGAAAUGUUGGGUUAAGUCCCGCAACGAGCGCAACCCUUAUCCUUUGUUGCCAGCGAUUAGGUCGGGAACUCAAAGGAGACUGCCAGUGAUAAACUGGAGGAAGGUGGGGAUGACGUCAAGUCAUCAUGGCCCUUACGACCAGGGCUACACACGUGCUACAAUGGCGCAUACAAAGAGAAGCGACCUCGCGAGAGCAAGCGGACCUCAUAAAGUGCGUCGUAGUCCGGAUUGGAGUCUGCAACUCGACUCCAUGAAGUCGGAAUCGCUAGUAAUCGUGGAUCAGAAUGCCACGGUGAAUACGUUCCCGGGCCUUGUACACACCGCCCGUCACACCAUGGGAGUGGGUUGCAAAAGAAGUAGGUAGCUUAACCUUCGGGAGGGCGCUUACCACUUUGUGAUUCAUGACUGGGGUGAAGUCGUAACAAGGUAACCGUAGGGGAACCUGCGGUUGGAUCACCUCCUUACCUU
rnacentral:rRNA from 1 species